GCCUCUGCACGAUUCAGGUAAGUGGAAUAAAAUACAUUGUAAAUAAACAUUAUUAAAACAGAUUGUGAAGUCAUUCAUUCAAAACUUGCUAUGACCUAAGCCUAAAUGACUUAAUUUCUUUUUAGAAUUAAGACAACCUUAGCAGGAGAGCCCCAGCAGUAACUUUCUCUCAAGCAGAUGAGCAAUAAGUUGCUUUGUAUGAACACCACCCUAACAAUCAAGUAGCCUGUUAACAGUAGACCAAAGGUAUGAUGAUCAAUUAUAAAUGCAAUAUGGUUGAAAGGUCAGUAAACAAACAACAAAAAGGUAAUUUCUUAAUAGAAUGUCUAUACAUUUUUUGCUUUUGUUACAUAUUUCAUACAUCAAAAUCAUUAAACGUUAAUAAUUAUGUAUUCCAACUUGUUGCAGCUUGACAAAAAUGUAGCUUGAAGGAGAAGGGACAGCUGAGUAACAAAGUCCUGGUACGCAGACGACGAUACUAUUACACUGACAAGAGUGUAAUGAUGAUGGAGACACAAGCCAGAGAAAGUGGGGACCAAACACCAGGCCAGAAUUCUGCAUGAGUCAGAUCCAGUGGGUGCAGAUCAUCAUACAGAUGGUUCAAGUGUGGAUCCACCUAA